CUUGGGCUCAAGUGAUCUUCCUACUUUAAUCUCCUGAGGUUCUGGGAUUACAGGUGUGAACCAUCCCAACUUGUCGAUUAUUCUCAAUCUCUCUCAUAACCGCUGAUUUAGGAAGGGACCUUGAGUGCUUAUCUCACCAAUAUCUAGACCUGAAUCUACUGUAGUAGACAGUAGAGCAGUAGUCAGAAGUCUGGGAUCUACUUAGAAUUCUGUGCUUUACACACAGGACCAACAUGGCCAGGUCACUGUGUCUCUCAGAGACUCAGCUUCUCUGUUUGUGAAAGAACAUGUCUGCCUUGAGCAAAGUGGCUGUCAGAACUAGAUGCUCAUGACUGUGCUGACUUUGUGGGUUUACUCCCCCUCUUUUCUCUUUUGCUUAUAGUUUUCUGGUUGCAUUUCUCAACAGCAGAACAUGAUGCAAGAUUUUGUGAGGACAGCCACUUACCACAGAGCCAUCCUCCAGAAUCACAUUGACUUUAGAAACAAGGGAAUACAUGCAUGGAUGUCAAGGAGGUGCUGCAGUGCUUUCUCCUGCCUGGACAGAAACAAGAAAAUUCCACUAUAGGAAGCAGAUGGCACAAACAAAGUGUGCACUGUUUGUUGUGCUAA
rnacentral:lncRNA from 13 species